GGCGAGUGAAGAGGGAAAAGCUCAAAGUUGGAACCUGUCUGGCCUAGCCAGUCCGGAUUGUAAACUAAAGAGCCGUUUUCCAGGCAAGCCAGGCAAAAAAGUCCCUUGGAACAGGGCAUCAUAGAGGGUGAGAAUCCCGUCUUUGGUCUGAGCGAUAUUGUCUUUAUGUGAUACGGUUUCAAAGAGUCAGGUUGUUUGGGAAUGCAGCCUAAAGUGGGUGGUAAAUCUCAUCUAAAGCUAAAUAUUGGCGAGAGACCGAUAGCGAACAAGUACCGUGAGGGAAAGAUGAAAAGAACUUUGAAAAGAGAGUUAAACAGUACGUGAAAUUGCUGAAAGGGAACCGUUUGAGGUUAGACUAGCUGGCCAGUAAUCAGUCUUGGAUUCGUCCAUGAUGCACUUGCUGGUCUUUGGCUAGCCAACGACAGUUUUUUCUGUGGGAAAAAAUAUGUAGGAAUGUGGCUCCGCUUUUUGGGGAGUGUUAUAGCCUGCUGUAGAAUACCACGGAGGAGACUGAGGCUUGCAGUGAAUGCUAUUAUGGCUUUGGAUCUGGUUGACUGUAUGGAGUUGUGGGCUGCUACUCGGCUUGCCGCGGCUUUCUGCCUCUCUGUGCAGUAUCUUCUAG
rnacentral:rRNA from 1 species